AAACCGGCGCUGAAACCGGUUUUUUGAACAAUGGCGGCGGAGAGAGAGUCGUAGCAACCUGGCAUCAGCACUAUCCCUUGAUCUUCAAUUAGACGGUGUAUGCGCGUCUGCAUUGUCACCGUUGGAUACGCUGACUUGAUGUGCUGGCUGUCUGAGCUUGACCGGAAUGUGAAAGGGCUCCGGUAGCUCAGUGCAGCAACUCCGGUUGCAACCAUCAACGACAUUUUGAGAGAGAGAGUGAGAGAGAGAGUGUGUUAGUGAG
rnacentral:misc_RNA from 1 species